rnacentral:misc_RNA from 1 species
UCCGGUUUAUCACCGGCAGUCUCCUAUGAGUCCCCGGCCGAACCGCUGGCAACAUAGGACGGGGGUUGCGCUCGUUGCGGGACUUAACCCAACAUCUCACGACACGAGCUGACGACAGCCAUGCACCACCUGUGAACUGACCCGAAGGGGGCCGUGUUUCCACGGCUUUCCAGCCCAUGUCAAGCCCAGGUAAGGUUCUUCGCGUUGCGUCGAAUUAAACCACAUGCUCCGCUGCUUGUGCGGGUCCCCGUCAAUUCCUUUGAGUUUUAGCCUUGCGGCCGUACUCCCCAGGCGGGAUGCUUAAUGCGUUAGCUUCGGCACGGACGGAGUCGACACCGCCCACACCUAGCAUCCAUCGUUUACGGCGUGGACUAC